AUGGCCGAGAGGGCGGCGGCGGCGGUGUCGCUCCCGGAAGACGCCGUCCGCGAGAUCCUCGUCCGCGUGGAAAGCGAGGCCGCUCUCUUCCGCUGCGCCGUGACGUGCAAGCGCUGGAGCCGCCUGGUAGCUGACCCUUCCUUUCUUCGUCGUCGCUGGCCGGAUGAUCAAUGGGUGGGACGCUUCCUCGCCGGGUUCUUCGCCCCGAAACGGCUGGACCGUACGGACCACAUGUUCCGGACGGGGGAGCCCAUGUUCGCCACGUUUUUCGUCCCGACGCCCCGCAAUUUGGAGUUUGAUAAAAGCGGCUACGCCAUCCUAACUAGGGCAGACUGCUCCUCGAGCGCAACCCAGCAGUCUUCGCAACCGGGCUGCUCGACCUUCUUCAAAGUGCUAAUCACUGGCCGGAGGUAUCUAGGUUUGCACAGCCUCUACACGUUCUCGUCCAGCGAGGCCAGGUGGAGCAAGCCUAUACAAUUAACUUUGGACACUACCGAGGUGAUCCACGACUGUCUACAUCCGGACGGUGCCGUGUCUUGUGCCAAGGUGCAUUGGAGCGUCGGGGACUGGUCAUGCCGCUGCUCUCUUGACAUGGACAUGGAGACGUAUCACAUCUCUCAGGCUAGGAUCAUGACCAGGACAAUUUACGGGGAAACCCACGACGAUCCACAACUUGGGGUCACCACCAAUGGGACGCCCUUGGUGUUAACUCUGUCAAGACCAGGCCUCCAGCUAAAGAUCUGCACGCAGCAAGACGACAAGAAGAGCGAGCAUGGCGCUAUUGCCAAGGCCAGGCGGCUCACCACUCGCAUUGUCGAGUUGAAACCACCUAGGCAGAUUGAAAGAAGGCCAAAUGAAAUAUACUUGAGAUUGUUAGGAGAGAAGAGUGGCACAAUGCUACUCAAGGAUAGUCAGAGACAGAUUUACAUCGCUGACACUGAGACAGGAGUGAUGGAGGAGUUUGAGUUGCCUCACGGUUUUGAUGGGCUUAACCGUUCGAAGAUCGUGUUGUUGGAGAUGGACUGGCUGGCACUAUUUGUUUUCCGGCUUGGGAAGUGGUAG
rnacentral:rRNA from 1 species